rnacentral:lncRNA from 1 species
GAGCACCAGCAUCCACAGCUGCUUGAGGAGGAAACAUCAACAGAAAGCAAAACAAUUAAUCAUCCACUGAUGGAGGAGGAGGAUGAUGAAGAUGGAGGACAGGAGCACCAGUAUCCACAGCAUCCUGAGGAAACAUCAACAGGGGACAGAAAGACUUCUAUUCACCAAAACAAUGUAAGCAAAAAUACUACACGUUUAAUAAAAAAUAAUAUGUAGACAUUACGCUAUACUAAUGCCUGUAAAAUGUCAGACAGGAGUGCCAACAUCCACUGAUGGAGGAGGAGGAUGAAGAAGAUGGAGGACAUUAGCACCAGUAUCCACAGCUGCCUGAGGAGGAAACAUCAACAGAAAGCAAAACAAUCAAAACAAUUAAUGUAAGUAAAGCCUCUCAUUGGCACAGAAAGACACUGAACUAAUGUUUAAUGUAAAAAUAGAGGUGACUUUAUACUAAUGCCUGUAAAAUGUUGGACUGGAACAACGGCAUCUACUGAUGGAGGAGGAGGAUGAAGAUGGAGGACAGGAGCACCAGUAUCCACAGCAUCCUGAGGAGGAAACAUCAACAGAGGACAGAGACUUCUAUUCACCAAAACAAUACAGGAGCACCAGCAUCCACAGCAUCCUGAGGAGGAAACAUUACCAGAGGACAGAAAGACUUCUAUUCACCAAAACAAUCAAUAGUUUUGCUUCAGAGGAGAAUCCGACAGUUCCAGAUGUUCGUCACCAGCACUGCAGUGUUUACACAGACUGCUUUGGUUUCAACUUUCUACAAAAAACUGUUGAAUUUUCAACUCACUUUCCAUCUGAAUCCAAGCUCAUCUUCAUCACUGGGAUGUUUCUUCAUCAGUUCUUCGUACAGACUGACACAGCUCACACAUGGAGAAGAUGAUUUAUGGAAUAUGACAUUUAGAUUUUUCCUUUUCUCAACAGUAUGAUGCAUACAUCCCAACCCAAAUUUCAUGCAUUUUUUUGGCUUAACUUGAGCCAAUUUCCAUCAAUAAAUUGCUAAUGUAUUAUUAUUAUUGACUAUUA